ACCGAACGUCGUCAUCAUCAAUUCGAUUUGAUUUACCAGUUACCGAACGUCGUCAUCAUGUUGACAUGGCAAAAGACUUACUAUGGAUUACCUUAUUCAUGAUUGUCAUUGUAAUUGUUUCGAAUAGCUAAAUUCUUCAUGAAGGGAAAAUGACCAUAAAAUGGGUUUGCUUGAUUUUCAUCGUAGUGCACUAAACCAUGUGCACAUUCAUCGUAGUGCACUAAACCAUUUCUGUGAGUCACUCACUGAUAUCAAUACCAUAUGAUGAGUAGUCAUCAUGCAUGGCUAAUGAUUAGACGUUAGACAUGGAUAUGUAUCGUCCUCACCUAAAUUUGGAUGUGCACAUGUCUGUUUCAGAAAAAAGUUAAGGACAGGAGAAGAUGAGCGCAUUAGCUCAGGC